rnacentral:rRNA from 1 species
AUUGAACGCUAGCGGCAGGCCUAACACAUGCAAGUCGAGCGAGCGGCGGACGGGUGCGUAAUGUAUGGGGACUGCCCGAUAGAGGGGGAUAACUGCUGGAAACGGUGGCUAAUACCGCAUACUAUCGGAUAACCCAUAUGGGAUGAGCUAGUAGGGAAGGUAAUGGCUUACCUAGGCGACGAUCCCUACAUGGUCUGAGAGGAUGAUCAGCCAAACUGGGACUGAGACACGGCCCAGACUCCUACGGAGGCAGCAGUGGGGAAUAUGGCACAAUGGGCGCAAGCCUGAUGCAGCCAUGCCGCGUGUAUUAAGAAGGCCCUAGGGUUGUAAAGUACUUUCAGUCGGGAGGCGUUACCGACAGAAGAAGCACCGGCUAACUCCGUGCCAGCAGCCGCGGUAAUAC